AUCGAUGAAGAACGCAGCGAAAUGCGAUAAGUAAUGUGAAUUGCAGAAUUCAGUGAAUCAUCGAAUCUUUGAACGCACCUUGCGCCCGCUGGUAUUCCGGCGGGCAUGCCCGUUUGAGUGUCUUGAAACCAUCAACCCCCCGCCUUUGCGGGCGCGGGGGUUGGACGUGGGGGACUUGCUGCGCGCGAGCGCGGCUCCCCUUAAAUGCAUCGGUUGGGCUUGGGAUCGCCCGCGUGCCUCUGGCGUUGUAUCUACCUCGCUUGCUGGCCAUCGGCUUUCCCCUUGCGCGCUCGGCCUUGACCUUGCCUCUGGAGCGGCGGUCGACUUUGAGACGGUUUUUUCCGUUCUUUCUUCUGACCUCAAAUCGGGUAGGACUACCCGCUGAACUUAAGCAUAUCAAUAAGCGGAGGAAAAGAAACUAACAAGGAUUCCCCUAGUAACUGCGAGUGAAGCGGGAAGAGCUCAAAUUUGAAAUCUGGCGGGUACCCCGUCCGAGUUGUAAUCUGGAGAAGCGUUUUCCGCGCUGGACCGUGUACAAGUCCCUUGGAACAGGGCGUCAUAGAGGGUGAGAAUCCCGUCUACGACACGGACCGCCAGUGCUGUGCGAUGCGCUCUCGAAGAGUCGAGUUGUUUGGGAAUGCAGCUCAAAACGGGUGGUAAAUUCCAUCUAAAGCUAAAUAUUGGCGAGAGACCGAUAGCGAACAAGUACCGUGAGGGAAAGAUGAAAAGCACUUUGGAAAGAGAGUGAAACAGUACGUGAAAUUGUUGAAAGGGAAACGCUUGAAGUCAGUCGCGCCCGCCGGGACUCAGCCUUGCUUCUGCUUGGUGCACUUCCCGGCUGGGCGGGCCAGCAUCGUUUUCCGCGCCGGACAAACCCGUGAGGAAUGUGGCAGCUCCGGCUGUGUUAUAGCCUCGCGCGGCACAACGGCGCAGGGGAACGAGGAAUCCGGGCGCAAGCCCUGGGAUGCUGGCGUAAUGGCUUUAAGCGACCCGUCUUGAAACACGG
rnacentral:rRNA from 1 species